UAAUGAGACAAAAAUUAUCUAAAAACAAAAUAUAAUAAUUAAAACCAGUGAAAAAAAAAUGAAACUACAAAGUCCCAUACCUCCUGAAUUAAAUAAGAAAAAAUAUUCUAUAAAUCAAGAGUUAGUACUUAAAAAAGAAAGCUAAUACCUAAAUAAGAAAGCUAACUUGUUUUCUUAAUAGACAAUCAUGAUGAAAAUCAUAGCUACCAUUAUUAGAGUUAUAAUUUUUAUUCAAAUCUGAAGAACAAUAUUAAUUACGUGUGUAUGGCCGUGUAUACGGUGCUCCAUCACAAAGGUAAGUGCUAUCAAUGCUUAACCAUAUGUUUUCCACUUCCAAAUUCCCUCGUAGGACUUCAACAAUCUGCAUCAAAUAGUUAUGAUAAUGGUGGAACUAAUGGUUUAACCUAUAAAUUAUUCUUUGUCCCAUUAAAAUAGUCUAACUAGCUAUUUAGUAAUAAAUGAAAAACAAAAAUGCUUGAAAGAUUGGUUCAUGAAAUCUAAAUAAAACUAGUAAAGCAAAUAUGUAAUCCUUUUGAAUUUACAUACCUGGCUCAUUCGUGGACGAUAAUUUGCGAGUUUGUACACGCAUGAUGCGGCACAAUAAAUCAUUCUAAUCAUUUCAUCCUCAUUAUAGCCUUUCAAUUCUUCAUCAAUAAUAUUACUAUAAUUAUUUAUCAUCAAAGCUUUUCUGAGUCGAGGUGCCACCCAAAUGGACAAGUUAGUGUCAACACCGUCUUUGUUUUCAACAGCUUGCUUGCCAGUAAUCAAUUCCAGAAGUACAAUACCAAAGGAAAAAACAUCGGACUUAUCAGUAGGUUGCUUAUCUUUGAUAUACUCAGGCGCUAAACAACAUAAAGUUCCUUUCAAACUAUCAACAGCAGAAUUAUAAGACCUAAAAGGGUGCAAAUUCUCUUUGGCUAAUCUACAAUCUGAAAUCUUUGGUUCAAACCUUUCAUCAAGAAGAAUGUUAUUCACCUUGAUAUUUCCAUGUAUGACUUUACAGUAUUCAUGUAAAAAUGCUAAUCCUUUUGCAGAACCUAUGGCAAUUUUCAUUCUGGUUGACCAAUUGAUAGUUACUUUGUUUUUUCCUGCAAUUGAUGACAUGUUGUACAUAAUUUUUCUUUUUUUUAUUGGAUAUAUAUAAAAGCGAGAGUGUUAGGGUUUGUAAAAACCUAACUUAAGAAGAAAAAAAAUCUAUCACAUGAUUAUUAUGUGUGUGUUGUGUGUGUGUGUGUGUAUAUGUAUGUUAAAAAUAGUAAGGCUCACCAUGUAGUCGAGACCGCAAGGAGUAGGGAAAAAACUCAUAAACAAGCAAUCUA
rnacentral:misc_RNA from 1 species